CCCACACUGAGCCUCUCGGGGCCUGAGCCUCCCUUGGCUCUGGAGAGCAGGUGGGAGCCAUGGUGGUGGUCUCGCCUCCGGGACACCAAGUGUGGAGCCGAAUAGAGCCCAGGGCCUCUGCACUGAGCAUAUCCCCAGCCCGCACACACAGCGAGCAGUAAACACCUGUGCCUGAACAAAUGACUGAGCAAAUGAAUGGCGUCUUCAUGUAGCAACCCAUCACGGCCUCGAGCUGAACCCCGCUGCCGUGGGCCGCGCCUCAGUGUCCACAUCUCCCCAAGACCUGUGACACAGCCAGGCACCCGGUGCUGUCCCACGGAUGUGUGUAAUCACACACGACACUGUGUGAGGCAGAUCUCAGUGUCCUUGGAGACACUGGCCCAGGAUUUCUCAAUGAACCCCACACAGGAGAAGAUGCUGUCAUGUUCCUUCCAGAGCUCUUUAGGGUUAAAUCUGUUUCUGAGACCAUCUGGAAACACAAGCAGCCGGCAUUCGGGUCAUAACUCAAGACUUUGGUCACAAGUUAAAAACUAAAAUUCUGAUCGUAACCCAAGUUUGUCUGUCAGGCG
ensembl:lncRNA